GUCUUCGUGGCUCAGUCGGGAGAUCACCCAACUAUGGUGCGGAAGGAUACGGGUUCGAGCCCCGGUGAAGGCA